rnacentral:rRNA from 1 species
UGGUCAAGUUAUUAAGGGUGCAGGGCGGAUGCCUUGGCACUAGGAGCCGAUGAAGGACGUGAUAAGCUGCGAUAAGCUUCGGGGAGUUGCACGUAAACUUUGAUCCGAAGAUUUCCGAAUGAGGAAACUCACUUAGAGUAAUGUCUAAGUAUCAUUAAGUGAAUACAUAGCUUAAUGAGGGGAACUCAGGGAACUGAAACAUCUAAGUACCUGAAGGAAGAGAAAGAAAUUCGAUUCCGUAAGUAGCGGCGAGCGAACGCGGAUUAGCCCAAACCAAUAAAGUUUUCUUUAUUGGGGUUGCGGACAUAUCAUAACGAAGAGGUAUCGUAAUUGAAGAGGUUUGGAAAGACCCACCACAGAAGGUAAUAGUCCUGUAUGUUAAACGAGAAGACUUUAGAUAUGAUCCAGAGUACCACGGGACACGUGAAACCCUGUGGGAAGCAGGAGGGACCACCCUCCAAGGCUAAAUACUACCUAGUGACCGAUAGCGUAUAGUACCGUGAGGGAAAGGUGAAAAGAACCCCGGGAGGGGAGUGAAAUAGAACCUGAAACCCUGCACUUACAAGCUGUGGAAGCACAUUUCUUGUGUGACCGCGUACUUUUUGUAGAACGGGCCAACGAGUUACGUUAAGUAGCAAGGUUAAGCACUUAAGGUGCGGAGCCGUAGCGAAAGCGAGUUUUAACUGAGCGUUCAGUUACUUGACGUAGACCCGAAACCGGGCGACCUACCCAUGAGCAGGAUGAAGCGAAAGGAAAAUUUCGUGGAGGUCCGAACCCACGAGCGUUGAAAAGCUCGGGGAUGACUUGUGGGUAGCGGUGAAAUUCCAAUCGAGCCCGGAGAUAGCUGGUUCUCCCCGAAAUAGCUUUAGGGCUAGCCUCAAGGUGAGAGAUACGGAGGUAGAGCACUGAAUGUCCUAGGGGGUAUUGCACCUACCGAAGACUAUCAAACUCCGAAUGCCGUCAUCUUAUACUUGGGAGUCAGACUGUGGGUGAUAAGAUUCAUAGUCGAAAGGGCAACAGCCCAGAUCGUCAGCUAAGGUCCCUAAAUGUAAGUUAAGUGGUAAAGGAUGUGGGAUUGCACAGACAACCAGGAUGUUGGCUUAGAAGCAGCCACUCAUUCAAAGAGUGCGUAAUAGCUCACUGGUCGAGUGAUCCUGCGCCGAAGAUUUCCGGGGCUAAAACUUACUACCGAAGCUACGGCAUCAGUAAUGAUGGGUAGGGG